CCUACGGGUGGCAGCAGUGAGGAAUAUUGGUCAAUGGACGAGAGUCUGAACCAGCCAAGUCGCGUGAAGGAAGACUGCCCUAUGGGUUGUAAACUUCUUUUAUAAAGGAAUAAAACGAGCCACGUGUGCCUUUUUGCAUGUACUUUAUGAAUAAGGCUCGGCUAACCCCGUGCCAGCAGCCGCGGUAAUACGGAGGAUCCGAGCGUUAUCCGGAUUUUUUGGGUUUAAAGGGAGCGUAGAUGGGUUGUUAAGUCAGUUGUGAAAGUUUGCGGCUCAACCGUAAAAUUGCAAUUGAGACUGGCAGUCUUGAGUACAGUUGAGGUAGGCGGAAUUCGUGGUGUAGCGGUGAAAUGCUUAGAUAUCACGAAGAACCCCGAUUGCGAAGGCAGCAUACUAAACUGUGACUGACAUUGAUGCUCGAAAGUGUGGGUAUCAAACAGGAUUAGAUACCCGUGUAGUC
rnacentral:rRNA from 1 species